AUUGAACGCUAGCGGCAGGCCUAACACAUGCAAGUCGAGCGAGCGGCGGACGGGUGAGUAAUGUCUGGGAAACUGCCUGAUGGAGGGGGAUAACUACUGGAAACGGUAGCUAAUACCGCAUACCAUCAGAUGCGCCCAGAUGGGAUUAGCUAGUAGGGGGGGUAAUGGCUCACCUAGGCGACGAUCCCUAGCUGGUCUGAGAGGAUGACCAGACAACCUGGAACGGAUACACGGUACAGGAUCCUACGGGAGGGAGCGGUGGGGAAUAUUGCACAAUGGGCGCAAGCCUGAUGGAGCCAUGCCGCGUGUGUGAAGAAGGCCUUCGGGUUGUAAAGCACUUUCAGCGGGGAGGCGUUACCCGCAGAAGAAGCACCGGCUAACUCCGUGCCAGCAGCCGCGGUAAUUC
rnacentral:rRNA from 1 species